UCCGCGUGUACACCCUCAUGAAGGAUCAUUUGACAUCGGCCUCAGCAACAGAUUAGAAUAUCGGCAGAGUGACAAGUUGUACUAAAUCACUCAAGCUUCCAAAUGACUACGAAUUUAAAGGAAGUUGAUGAAAACAACAUAGAGUGUUUAACAGACGUAGUGUUUAAUUGUCAAAUGCACCAAUUUAUUUGUUACAGCUUUGUUCUAUGUUCUAAUUCCAUUUCUGGCGCACACUGUACAACGCUGUUUGUAAUGUCUCGGAUCAUUUUGCAAUUUUAAGAGCAUGUUUGUUUAUAAUUAACCAAAACACGUUUUGCUUUAUCAUAUCCCAAGUUUCUACCUGCACAUCAGCGAUGUCUUUCGGAUGUUUUUUGUAAUAAUCUUGCAAGAGCUUACACAGCUUAUCGGCCUUGAUGUUGGCCUUCACGCCACACUGCUUGGCGAGCUGCUGCAGGUCGCUGUACCUCAGCUGCUGCAGCUCCUUGUCUCCGCUCGACUCC